rnacentral:misc_RNA from 1 species
GAUGAAGAACGUAGCGAAAUGCGAUAAGUAAUGUGAAUUGCAGAAUUCAGUGAAUCAUCGAAUCUUUGAACGCACAUUGCGCCCAUUAGUAUUCUAGUGGGCAUGCCUGUUCGAGCGUCAUUUCAACCAUCAAGCCCCAGGCUUGUGUUGGGGACCUGCGGCUGCCGCAGGCCCUGAAAACCAGUGGCGGGCUCGCUGUCACACCGGGCGUAGUAGAUUUUAUCUCGCUCAGGGCGUGCUGCGGGUUCCGGCCGUUAAAAAGCCUUUUUUACCCAAGGUUGACCUCGGAUCAGGUAGGAAGACCCGCUGAACUUAAGCAUAUCAAUAAGCGGAGGA